rnacentral:rRNA from 1 species
CCCAAGAGUUCACAUCGACGGCGCGGUUUGGCACCUCGAUGUCGGCUCAUCGCAUCCUGGGGCUGGAGCAGGUCCCAAGGGUUUGGCUGUUCGCCAAUUAAAGCGGUACGUGAGCUGGGUUUAGAACGUCGUGAGACAGUUCGGUCCCUAUCUUUCGUGGGCGCAGGAUAUUUGAGAGGAUCUUUCCCUAGUACGAGAGGACCGGGAUGGACGAACCUCUGGUGUUCCAGUUGUCGCGCCAGCGGCAUAGCUGGGUAGCUACGUUCGGAAUGGAUAACCGCUGAAAGCAUCUAAGUGGGAAGCCAACCUCAAGAUAAGAUAUCCCCAUUUUGUGGAGACACAAGAUCUGAAGACCCCUUGUAGACGACAAGGUUGAUAGGCCAGGUGUGUAAGUACAGUAAUGUAUUUAGCUAACUGGUACUAAUCGGUCGUGAGGCUUGGCCAU